UAAAUAGAAAGACAUUUAAUGUGCAUGAUCAUAAAAUCUCAAUAUUGUCAAGAUAUAAUUUCUCCCCAAUUUGAGUUAUAGGCAAGAGAGUCACAUCAUCUAGGUGAUUGGCCAAACAUAUGUCACAAUCCCUUCCAUUGACAGCUCCCAAAAAAGGAGUUACAUCACCUAGGUGCUCAGCUCUGAGAUGUGUCACAACAUUGCCCAAUACAGGCAGGCCACAGGCGGGAGAGUCACAUUUCCUGGGUGCUUGGCCCAGUGGUAUGUCACAUUUCCUUAUGUAGGAAGGGCACACGUAGCAAGAGAGAGUCACAUUACCUAGGUACUGUGCUAGAGCUAUCAGUCUCUGUGUCGUUCAAUGUGAGAGUUAUGAUCUCUUUAGACAUCCAUGUAACAGAGCCUCAACUCCUUCAUCCUCAGAUGUAAAGGCUAGUGAAGACCAAAUAAGCCUUGAAAGGUAAUUCCCCUAAAAAGGCAGAAUGUCUUAGGCUUUGGCCUCUCCCCUUCAAGCACAAUGAGAUCAUAACCUCUCUUUUGACUUCUCACUAUGCCCAGCACUGGAACAAAGCUCCUGACUCCACACCCUCACCUUUCCACCCUUGUGCCUUCACUGGGCAGACAAGAGAUGAGAAGACCUGAACUCUGGGACAGUCUGGGGAGAAAAGAAUCCAAAAAGGGUUGAGGCGGCAAGGGCUGAGCUCCCACGGGUGCCCCGGCCCAAAGGUGCAGGUCCAGGCUGUUUUCCAGGUGGCAUUCAGUGCAGGUUCUUCAAUGCCACUGGAAGGCAUGAAAAACCCACUGUAGCUGCUGCUGCUUCCUUUUCUUAAGCUGUGAAAAUGCAAACACUUUUUCAAGGUUUUCAGAUAUGCCCAGGUACCCCCAACUGAAAAGGAGGAUAAUGGCAUUGUUCAUCAUGGCUUAUUGUCUUGCCCAGGCAGGAGCCAGCCCCUGACUCGCCAAUCCAGCUGCCCCAGGCUGGAGGUGAUCCUUUCGAGCCUCCUCCCUGCAACUCCACUCCUCUUUUUUCUCUUCCUCAACCACCGGCAUACUUUUGGUCAUCCUCCUUGUUGUCACAAUGGGGGCGUGAUGCCAUAAAGACCUGGGAACCCCAAUGAUCUCAGGUCCCGCAGGGGUCAGGUGAGCAUAUAGGAAGUCCAGAAGGACAGUCAUCUGCCACCUCCAGUUGAAAAAGAACAAAACCCUCGCACUCCAGAAAUGAGUCAAGAACCCAGCGAAGGCCACAGGUCUAGCCCACAACCACCUAGGUAUGUGGGGUCCUCCAAGGCUCACGCUUGUGUCCUGCAGGCUGGAGCCCAUGCGAGGGUCUGCAGUCUUUGUUCCGGAUGGGGAACUACUGCUUCAGCUGGUUACCCAGGUGUCCCCGAUGGGGAAAGGAAGGAAAUGGUGAGAAUCUUCAGCACAACGGAUCACAUCACCCUGGCAGAGACCAGUCCGGCCUGCGCAUGGCACCAGCAGCCGCAGGCUAGAGGCAGUCAUGUCAGGCCUCCUCCAUACAGCAUCUCUCCUGCUUUUUUUUCAAACGGUCCUAAUCACUUAAUUUGGUCAUCUUCCCUGUCACAAUGGGGCACCUGGCGCUAUAGACACUUGGGAAACACACAGAUCUGGGGUCCUACAGUGUCCAGGUGAAGACGCCGGGAGUCAGAGAGGAAAGUCUUUUGAAGCCUCCAAAAGGAAUGCACAGGACCCCACUUGAAGAGGUGGAGUGCCCAGUGGCGGAUACAGGCCCCACACAUCGCAGCAGUAAACAGGGACUCCACGGUGUCCAGCUCUCCAGCCUGGGGUUUCUCAUCACCCAGUGAUUCCAAAAGAAAGGAUCUACAAUGGCAUGACUAAGUUCCAGAAACAAAUAAACAAAAUACUGAGGGAAGCCCGUUGGUCACUUUGAUUCUUCAAAGGUGACAAUUGUCCCUCCCUGAAAUCUUGUGAGUGCAUGAACAGGCUAUUCUAAUGUAAAUGAAAUUCACACUAAAACUGAUUGAAAGAUGAUUCUGUUUCCAAGGUACUUUGUAUUCUCAAAUUGCACCUGCUUACCCUGGCCCCCUCAAAAUGGAAGAGUGAUGACUAUUUGUCUUCGUAGCACUGUGGGGACACAGAGCCUUAAAUGGAAGAGUGUCAAAAGCAACAUUCCAUAAAGGGCUGUCACUUCCAAUUUUCAAGCAAGGUUGGAAACCAACCAUGAUGUAUGAAACACUGUUGGCCAAAGUGCACAAUUAGUAAUACAAAAUGAAUAAUAUAAACUAUUGUAAAUAUGUGUGGACAUCGUGGCAAUUUGGACAUCAAAAAACACUGCCAAAUUCAGAAAGAGGAAGCUGUAAACUCAUGGCUGUUAGGAAGCUUAACUUCUGUGUACUAGAACCUAUCAAAAUUAAAUUUCUCCAUGUCAA
rnacentral:lncRNA from 10 species